rnacentral:rRNA from 1 species
GAUGAACGCUGGCGGCGUGCCUAAUACAUGCAAGUCGAACGCUUCACUUCGGUGAAGAGUGGCGAACGGGUGAGUAAUACAUAAGUAACCUGGCAUCUACAGGGGGAUAACUGAUGGAAACGUCAGCUAAGACCGCAUAGGUGUAGAGAUCGCAUGAACUCUAUAUGAAAAGUGCUACGGGACUGGUAGAUGAUGGACUUAUGGCGCAUUAGCUGGUUGGUAGGGUAACGGCCUACCAAGGCGACGAUGCGUAGCCGACCUGAGAGGGUGACCGGCCACACUGGGACUGCGACACGGCCCAGACUCCUACGGGAGGCAGCAGUAGGGAAUUUUCGGCAAUGGGGGAAACCCUGACCGAGCAACGCCGCGUGAAGGAAGAAGUAAUUCGUUAUGUAAACUUCUGUCAUAGAGGAAGAACGGUGGAUAUAGGGAAUGAUAUCCAAGUGACGGUACUCUAUAAGAAAGUCACGGCUAACUACGUGCCAGCAGCCGCGGUAAUAC